CUCAAGGUUGUGCAGUUGGUAGCACUGUUGACUUGCAGGAAGAAGGUCCUGGGUUCAAAUCCUGGCCUGCGGGU